AUUGAACUCUGGCGGCAGGCCUAACACAUGCAAGUCUAACGCGUGGCGGUCGGGUGAGUAAUGUCUGGGCAACUGCCUGAUGGAGGGGGAUAACUACUGGAAACGGUAGCUAAUACCGCAUACCAUCGGAUGUGCCCAGAUGGGAUUAACUAGUAGGUGGGGUAAAGGCUCACCUAGGCGACGAUCCCUAGAUAGUCUGAGAGGAUGACCAGGCACACUGGAAAUGAGACACGGGCCAGAGUCCUAAGCGAGGCAGCAGGGGGGAAGAUUGAACAAUGGGAGCAAGCCUAGUGCAGCCAUGUCGCGUGUAAGAAGAAGGCCUUCGGGUUGUAAAGUAAUUUCAGCGGGGAGGCGUUACCCGAAGAAGAAGCACCGGCUAACUCAGUGCCAGCAGACGCGGUAAUAU
rnacentral:rRNA from 1 species